rnacentral:rRNA from 1 species
UACGGGGGGGGCAAGCGUUGUUCGGAAUUAUUGGGCGUAAAGCGCACGUAGGCGGCCGAAUAAGUCGGGUGUGAAAGCCCUGGGCUCAACCCAGGAAGUGCACUCGAUACUGCUCGGCUUGAGUAUGGAAGAGGGUUGCGGAAUUCCCGGUGUAGAGGUGAAAUUCGUAGAUAUCGAGAGGAACACCGGUGGCGAAGGCGGCUUCCUGGACCGACACUGACGCUGAGGCGCGAAAGCUAGGGGAGCAAACAGG